rnacentral:rRNA from 1 species
AGAGUUUGAUCAUGGCUCAGAAUCAACGCUGGCGGCGUGCCUAACACAUGCAAGUCGAACGAGAAAGCGGGGGCAACCCUGCGAGUACAGUGGCAGACGGGUGAGUAACACGUGAACAACCUACCCUUGAGUGGGGAAUAACACCGCGAAAGCGGUGCUAAUACCGCAUAAAAUCUUUGGGUCGCAUGGCUUGGAGAUCAAAAGCGCAAGUUGCUUGAGGAGGGGUUCGCGGCUGAUUAGCUAGUUGGUGAGGUAACGGCCCACCAAGGCAACGAUCAGUAGCCGGCCUGAGAGGGCGAACGGCCACACUGGAACUGAGACACGGUCCAGACUCCUACGGGAGGCAGCAGUGGGGAAUUUUGCGCAAUGGGCGAAAGCCUGACGCAGCAACGCCGCGUGGAGGAUGAAGGCCUUCGGGUCGUAAACUCCUGUCGAUGGGGACGAAAGCCUCGCAAGGGGAUUGACUGUACCCGUUGAGGAAGCCACGGCUAACUCCGUGCCAGCAGCCGCGGUAAUACGGAGGUGGCAAGCGUUGUUCGGAAUUACUGGGCGUAAAGGGCGCGUAGGCGGCUUUACAAGUCAGAUGUGAAAGCCCCGGGCUCAACCCGGGAAUUGCAUCUGAAACUGUAUAGCUUGAGUCCUGGAGGGGGUAGUGGAAUUCCCAGUGUAGCGGUGAAAUGCGUAGAUAUUGGGAGGAACACCUGCGGCGAAAGCGGCUACCUGGACAGUGACUGACGCUGAGGCGCGAAAGCUAGGGGAGCGAACGGGAUUAGAUACCCCGGUAGUCCUAGCCGUAAACGAUGGGCACUUGGUGUUGGGGGUGUUGAGUCCCUCGGUGCCGGAGCUAACGCGAUAAGUGCCCCGCCUGGGGAGUACGGUCGCAGACUGAAACUCAAAGGAAUUGACG